rnacentral:rRNA from 1 species
UACGUAGGGGGCAAGCGUUGUCCGGAUUCAUUGGGCGUAAAGCGCGCGCAGGCGGUCCUUUAAGUCUGAUGUGAAAGCCCACGGCUCAACCGUGGAGGGUCAUUGGAAACUGGGGGACUUGAGUGCAGAAGAGGAGAGUGGAAUUCCACGUGUAGCGGUGAAAUGCGUAGAGAUGUGGAGGAACACCAGUGGCGAAGGCGACUCUCUGGUCUGUAACUGACGCUGAGGCGCGAAAGCGUGGGGAGCAAACAGG